rnacentral:rRNA from 1 species
CAGUCGCCGCGGGAAAACGAAGGGUGCAAGCGUUACUCGGAAUUACUGGGCGUAAAGCGUGCGUAGGUGGUGGUUUAAGUCCGUUGUGAAAGCCCUGGGCUCAACCUGGGAAUUGCAGUGGAUACUGGGUCACUAGAGUGUGGUAGAGGAUAGUGGAAUUUCCGGUGUAGCAGUGAAAUGCGUAGAGAUCGGAAGGAACAUCUGUGGCGAAGGCGACUAUCUGGGCCAACACUGACACUGAGGCACGAAAGCGUGGGGAGCAAACAGGAUUAGAUACCCCUGUAGUCCCUGUCUCUUAUAA